rnacentral:sRNA from 1 species
GAUGCCAGGGUCAAAAGGUCUAAAUCCACAUGAGCUUGCUCAUAAGUGGAUGAAAGACCUUGGGACCCGCCCAGAUAUGAGCAUAAAAGUGGGAUGAUAAUCCCACGAUAUGCGAAUACUGGAGAGGAUUGUGGGAGUGCAACGCACGGAACAAUCCGUAGGCAUC